GACGAACGCUGGCGGCGUGCUUAACACAUGCAAGUCGAACGGUAAGGCCCUUCGGGGUACACGAGUGGCGAACGGGUGAGUAACACGUGGGUGAUCUGCCCUGCACUUCGGGAUAAGCCUGGGAAACUGGGCCUAAUACCGGAUAGGACCCUGGGAUGCAUGUCCUGGGGUGGAAAGCUUUUGCGGUGUGGGACGGGCCCGCGGCCUAUCAGCUUGUUGGUGGGGUGAUGGCCUACCAAGGCGACGACGGGUAGGCGGCCUGAGGGGGUGACCGGCGACACUGGGACUGAGAUACGGCCCAGACUCCUACGGGAGGCAGCAGUGGGGAAUAUUGCACAAUGGGCGCAAGCCUGAUGCAGCGACGCCGCGUGAGGGAUGACGGCCUUCGGGUUGUAAACCUCUUUCAGCACCGACGAAGCGCAAGUGACGGUAGGUGCAGAAGAAGGACCGGCCAACUACGUGCCAGCAGCCGCGGUAA
rnacentral:rRNA from 1 species